AACGAACGCUGGCGGCAUGCCUAACACAUGCAAGUCGAACGAGACCUUCGGGUAUAGUGGCGAACGGGUGCGUAACGCGUGGGAACCUGCCCUUAGGUUCGGAAUAACUCCCCGAAAGGGGUGCUAAUACCGGAUAAUGUCUUCGGACCAAAGAUUUAUCGCCUUUGGAUGGGCCCGCGUUGGAUUAGCUAGUUGGUAGGGUAAAAGCCUACCAAGGCGACGAUCCAUAGCUGGUCUGAGAGGAUGAUCAGCCACACUGGGACUGAGACACGGCCCAGACUCCUACGGGAGGCAGCAGUGGGGAAUAUUGGACAAUGGGCGAAAGCCUGAUCCAGCAAUGCCGCGUGAGUGAUGAAGGCCUUAGGGUUGUAAAGCUCUUUUACCCGGGAUGAUAAUGACAGUACCGGGAGAAUAAGCUCCGGCUAACUCCGUG
rnacentral:rRNA from 1 species